ACGAACGCUGGCGGCGUGCUUAACACAUGCAAGUCGAGCGGUAAGGCCCUUUCGGGGGUACACGAGCGGCGAACGGGUGAGUAACACGUGAGCAAUCUGCCCUUGACUUUGGAAUAACCAUUGGAAACGAUGGCUAAUGCCGAAUAUGACCUCCUUUCGCAUGUUUGGAGGUGGAAAGCUCCGGCGGUCAAGGAUGAGCUCGCGGCCUAUCAGCUUGUUGGUGAGGUAAUGGCUCACCAAGGCAUUGACGGGUAGCCGGCCUGAGAGGGUGACCGGCCACACUGGGACUGAGACACGGCCCAGACUCCUACGGGAGGCAGCAGUGGGGAAUAUUGGACAAUGGGCGAAAGCCUGAUCCAGCAACGCCGCGUGAGGGAUGACGGCCUUCGGGUUGUAAACCUCUUUCAGCAGGGACGAAGCGAGAGUGACGGUACCUGCAGAAGAAGGACCGGCCAACUACGU
rnacentral:rRNA from 1 species